rnacentral:rRNA from 1 species
CCCUUAGAUGUUCUGGGCUGCACGCGCGCUACACUGAAGGACUCAACGUGCUUGUCUCCUUGGCCGUCAGGUCUGGGUAACCCGUUGAACCUCCUUCGUGCUAGGGAUUGGGGCUUGUAAUUAUUCCCCAUGAACGAGGAAUUCCCAGUAAGCGCGAGUCAUCAUCUCGCGUUGAUUACGUCCCUGCCCUUUGUACACACCGCCCGUCGCUACUACCGAUUGAAUGGUCCGGUGAAGCGUUCGGACCGUGGCCUUUGGACGGUUCGCCGUCUGUUGGCUGCGGGAAGUUCGUUAAACCUUAUCAUUUAGAGGAAGGAGAAGUCGUAACA